CCUACGGGCGGCAGCAGUGAGGAAUAUUGGUCAAUGGACGAAAGUCUGAACCAGCCAAGUCGCGUGAAGGAUGACUGCCCUAUGGGUUGUAAACUUCUUUUAUCUGGGAGUAAAAUGUUCCACGUGUGGGCUUUUGUAUGUAACAUGUGAAUAAGGAUCGGCCAACUCCGUGCCAGCAGCCGCGGUAAUACGGAGGGGCCGAGCGUUAACCGGAUUUAUUGGGGUUAAAGGGAGCGUAGGGGGAUUGUCAAGGCAGUUGUGAAAGUUUGCGGCUCAACCGUAAAAUUGCAGUUGAAACUGGCAGUCUUGAGUAGAGUAGAGGUGGGCGGAAGUCGUGGUGUAGCGGUGAAAUGCAUAGAUAUCACGAAGAACUCCGAUUGCGAAGGCAGCUCACUGGACUGCAACUGACACUGAGGCUCGAAAGUGUGGGUAUCAAACAGGAUUAGAUACCCGAGUAGUC
rnacentral:rRNA from 1 species